AUCCAUGGCCAUACCAUCCUGAACAUACUUGAUCUCAGAAGUUAAACAGCCUAGUUAGUACUUAAUUGGGAGACCUCCUAAUGCUGUAGGCUUGGUGGCCCAGGUCA
rnacentral:rRNA from 1 species